rnacentral:rRNA from 1 species
GAUGAACGCUAGCUACAGGCUUAACACAUGCAAGUCGAGGGGCAGCAUGGGGGUUGCUUGCAAUCCCUGAUGGCGACCGGCGCACGGGUGAGUAACGCGUAUCCAACCUGCCCGCCACUCGGGUAUAGCCCAGUGAAAACUGGAUUAAUCCCUGAUGGUCUCCUUUGCGGACAUCUGACGAGGAGUAAAGAUUCAUCGGUGGUGGAUGGGGAUGCGUCCGAUUAGCUAUGUUGGCGGGGUAACGGCCCACCAAGGCAACGAUCGGUAGCCGGUCUGAGAGGAUGAACGGCCACAAUGGAACUGAGACACGGUCCAUACUCC